CAAUAGCGUAUAUUAAAGUUGUUGCAGUUAAAAAGCUCGUAGUUGGACUUCUGAUGUGGAGGGACGGUCCGCCUCACGGUGAGCACUGAUUCUUCACGUCUUCCUCUCGUAGUCUUUUGGCGCACUUAGUUGGGUGCCUUUAGAAUAUGGGACCUUUACUUUGAAAAAUUAGAGUGCUCAAAGCAGGCUAUUACGCCUGAAUAUUCGUGCAUGGAAUAAUAGAAUAGGAAGUCGUUUCUAUUUUGUUGGUUUUCGGAAAUCGACUUAAUGAUUAAUAGGGACAGUCGGGGGCAUUUGUAUUCAAACGACAGAGGUGAAAUUCUUGGACCGUUUGAAGACAAACUACUGCGAAAGCAUUUGCCAAGGAUGUUUUCAUUGAUCAAGAACGAAAGUUAGGGGAUCGAAGAUGAUUAGAUACCAU
rnacentral:rRNA from 1 species